UCUAGAAGCUUCGACAAUGGGGGAAACCCUGAUCGAGCGACGCCGCGUGCAGGAUGAAGGUUUUCGGAUCGUAAACUGCUUUCGCCGGGGAAGAAGGGCGUGGGAAUUAAUACCUCCCGUGUUUGACGGUACCCGGUAAAGAAGCCCCGGCUAAGUCCGUGCCAGCAGCCGCGGUAAUACGGGCGGGGCGAGCGUUGUUCGGAUUUAUUGGGUGUAAAGGGUGCGCAGGCGGUCGACUAAGUCGGAGGUGAAAGGUCCACGGCUUAACCGGGAAAUUGCCUUCGAAACUGGUCGACUUGAGUACGGGAGGGGAGCGUGGAAUUCCUGGUGUAGCGGUGAAAUGCGUAGAUAUCAGGAGGAACACCUGUGGCGAAGGCGACGCUCUGGACCGUAACUGACGCUCAUGCACGAAAGCCAGGGGAGCGAACGGGAUUAGAUACCCCCGUAGUCC
rnacentral:rRNA from 1 species